ACCUGGGUGGCUCAGUCGGUUAAGCCUCUGGCUUCAGCUCAGGUCAUGAUCUGAGGGCUUGUGGGUUCGAGCCCCACAUCAGGCU
rnacentral:tRNA from 1 species